GUGACUGCGUACCUUUUGUAUAAUGGGUCAGCGACUUAUAUUCUGUAGCAAGGUUAACCGUAUAGGGGAGCCGUAGGGAAACCGAGUCUUAACUGGGCGAAUAAGUUGCAGGGUAUAGACCCGAAACCCGGUGAUCUAGCCAUGGGCAGGUUGAAGGUUGGGUAACACUAACUGGAGGACCGAACCGACUAAUGUUGAAAAAUUAGCGGAUGACUUGUGGCUGGGGGUGAAAGGCCAAUCAAACCGGGAGAUAGCUGGUUCUCCCCGAAAGCUAUUUAGGUAGCGCCUCGUGAACUCAUCUUCGGGGGUAGAGCACUGUUUCGACUAGGGGGUCAUCCCGACUUACCAACUCGAUGCAAACUACGAAUACCGAAGAAUGUUAUCACGGGAGACACACGGCGGGUGCUAACGUUCGUCGUGAAGAGGGAAACAACCCAGACCGCCAGCUAAGGUCCCAAAGUCAUAGUUAAGUGGGAAACGAAGUGGGAAGGCUCAGACAGCCAGGAUGUUGGCUUAGAAGCAGCCAUCAUUUAAAGAAAGCGUAAUAGCUCACUGGUCGAGUCGGCCUGCGCGGAAGAUGUAACGGGGCUAAACUAUGCACCGAAGCUGCGGCAGCGAUAUUUAGAUAUUGUUGGGUAGGGGAGCGUUCUGUAAGCCUGUGAAGGUGUGCUGUGAGGCAUGCUGGAGGUAUCAGAAGUGCGAAUGCUGACAUAAGUAACGAUAAUGCGGGUGAAAAACCCGCACGCCGGAAGACCAAGGGUUCCUGUCCAACGUUAAUCGGGGCAGGGUGAGUCGACCCCUAAGGCGAGGCAGAAAUGCGUAGUCGAUGGGAAACGGGUUAAUAUUCCCGUACUGGUGAUAAUUGCGAUGGGGGGACGGAGAAGGCUAGGCUAUCCGGGCGACGGUUGUCCCGGUUUAAGGAUGUAGGCAGGUGAAUUAGGCAAAUCCGGUUCACUAUAUGCUGAGGUCCGAUGACGAGUCACUACGGUGAUGAAGUAGCUCAUGCCCCGCUUCCAGGAAAAGCCUCUAAGCUCUAGAUUAUCAUUAAUCGUACCCCAAACCGACACAGGUGGUCAGGUAGAGAAUACUCAGGCGCUUGAGAGAACUCGGGUGAAGGAACUAGGCAAAAUGGUGCCGUAACUUCGGGAGAAGGCACGCUGGCAUUAGGUGAAGUNNNNNNNNNNNNNNNNNNNNNNNNNNNNNNNNNNNNNNNNNNNNNNNNNNNNNNNNGUGUGACGCCUGCCCGGUGCUGGAAGGUUAAUUGAUGGGGUUAUCCGUAAGGAGAAGCUCUUGAUCGAAGCCCCAGUAAACGGCGGCCGUAACUAUAACGGUCCUAAGGUAGCGAAAUUCCUUGUCGGGUAAGUUCCGACCUGCACGAAUGGCGUAAUGAUGGCCAGGCUGUCUCCACCCGAGACUCAGUGAAAUUGAACUCGCUGUGAAGAUGCAGUGUACCCGCGGCAAGACGGAAAGACCCCGUGAACCUUUACUAUAGCUUGACACUGAACAUUGAGCCUUGAUGUGUAGGAUAGGUGGGAGGCUUUGAAGCGUGGACGCCAGUCUGCGUGGAGCCAACCUUGAAAUACCACCCUUUAAUGUUUGAUGUUCUAACGUUGCCCCAUUAUCUGGGGUGCGGACAGUGUCUGGUGGGUAGUUUGACUGGGGCGGUCUCCUCCCAAAGAGUAACGGAGGAGCACGAAGGUUGGCUAAGCAUGGUCGGACAUCAUGCGGUUAGUGCAAAGGCAUAAGCCAGCUUGACUGCGAGAGUGACGGCUCGAGCAGGUACGAAAGUAGGUCUUAGUGAUCCGGUGGUUCUGAAUGGAAGGGCCAUCGCUCAACGGAUAAAAGGUACUCCGGGGAUAACAGGCUGAUACCGCCCAAGAGUUCAUAUCGACGGCGGUGUUUGGCACCUCGAUGUCGGCUCAUCACAUCCUGGGGCUGAAGUAGGUCCCAAGGGUACGGCUGUUCGCCGUUUAAAGUGGUACGCGAGCUGGGUUUAGAACGUCGUGAGACAGUUCGGUCCCUAUCUGCCGUGGGCGUUGGAAGAUUGAAAGGGGCUGCUCCUAGUACGAGAGGACCGGAGUGGACGCACCACUGGUGUUCGGGUUGUCAUGCCAAUGGCAUUGCCCGGUAGCUAAGUGCGGAAGAGAUAACCGCUGAAAGCAUCUAAGCGGGAAACUUGCCUUGAGAUGAGUCUUCCCUGACUCUUUAAGGGUCCUAAAGGAACGUUUAAGACUAAGACGUUGAUAGGUUGGGUGUGUAAGCGUAGCGAUACGUUGAGCUAACCAAUACUAAUGAACCGUGAGGCUUAACCUGACAACACCGAAGGUGUUUUAG
rnacentral:rRNA from 1 species